GACCCUGUUCCUGUUUUAAAUACCUCUCAUGAGUCCUGGGAUUAAAGGCCUGUGAUCCCAAAAGGCCUGUGAUCCCAAGUGCUGAGAUCAUCUUUAUAUGAGCUGUUUCUCUUUGGAACUGGAUAUAUUUCGUGCAGCUCAGCGUGGCCUUGAAAUAACAGAGAUCCAUCUACCUCUACUUCCCAUGUGGUAGGAUUAAAGAUGCAUUAAAGCUUUACUGCAGAGGGAUCUGAGUGUCCUGUGUCCGUUCUUGCUGGUGAGACGAUCGCACAGGACAUAUGGUGCCAAAUCCAGGGAACUUGUUGACAUCGCUGGCGCCGCGGGAGACCCCUCGGAGGACGGGGCGGAUUCAGAACUUCAGGGAGGACGAAGAGAAUCCCCUGUGGAUGCAGAAAAGACUCACCCGAAGAGCCCCUUCGGACCCUCAAAAGUUGGAACUCU